rnacentral:lncRNA from 10 species
GUUUCUCCCUCUUGGCCAAGCUGGUCUUGAACUCCUGACCUUGUGAUCCACCUGCCUCAGCCUCCCAGAGUGCUGGGAUUACAGGCAUGAGCCACUGAGUCUGGCCUAUGCCUGGCUAAUUUUUAAGUUUUUUUGUAGAGAUGGGGUCUCACUAUGUUGCCCAGGCUGGUCUCAAACUCCUGAGCCCAAGAUCCUCCCACUUCGGUCUCCCAGAGUGCUGGGAUUACAGGCAGGAGCCACUGCACCGGCCAGAACCGUACACUUUUUUUUUUUUUUUUAAAUGGAGUCUUUGUCACCCAGGCUGGAGUGCAGUGGUGCAAUCUCACUGUAACCUCUACCUCUCAGGUUCAAGUGAUUCACCUGCCUCAGCCUCCUGAGUAACUGGGAUUACAGGCGUGUGCCACCAUGCCCUGCUAAUUUUUGUAUUUUUUUCAGUAGAGACAGGAGUUCGCCAUGUUGACCAGGCUGGUCUUGAACUCCUGACUUCAGGUGAUCUGCCCGCCUUGGCCUCCCAAAGUGCUGGGAUUACAGGCAGGAGCCACCACACCCAGCCAGAACCGUACUUUAAAUAGGUGAGUUGUGUGGUAUGUGAACUGUAUCCCAAUAAAGCUGAGGUAAAGCAUUUUAAUACGUUUGUGUGACUGUCUGACCAGCAUUCAGUCUGCAUUUGUCAUGGAUGCUGAGAAUCCCACAUCACUAAGCCAGGCCCCUGUGGUCUAGAUGUUGCAGAAGAAUUGAGCCGUAUUUAGAGAGAAGAGUCCCUGGUCUCUGAGCUAAGCCCUGGUGCUCAGUGUGAUUAUUCUGGGGGCUCCAUUUGCAUGUUUAACACGGAGCACAACUGCUAUGCCUUUGCUGGGCCCCGGACCGGGGAGGACAGGGUAAGUGUGCGUGUCUCUGGCCUGACGAUUAGGAAACUCAGGCAUGUGAGGUUGAGCGACAAGCCUGGCCUCACUCAGCAAGGCAAGUGGCAGCCAGGAAUAGUGCAGGGCUCCCAGCUGUGUCUGGCCCGCCGUAAACACCCACCCUUCUUCUGUCUGAUUGAAAAGGGAACAUGAAAUAAGAACCAGGGCUCAGGCUGAUACAGGAACUAAUCCUGCCUCUGCAUUCCAAGUCGUGCCGUCUGGGCCUGAAGGGAGCUGGGCUGGCCUUCGCCAGUUCCCAUGUUGAUUUCGGGUUCACCUCCCUGCACACAGGCACAGAGAUGGAGUUCAUUCACUCCGACGUGUUCGCUUGCAUUUAGUAGUUUCCAUCGGCCGGGCGCAGUGGCUCAAGCCUGUAAUCCCAGCACUUUGGGAGGCCGAGGCGGGCAGAUCACUGAGGUCAGGAGUUCGAGACCAGCCUGGCCAACGUGGUGAAACCCCAUCUCUACUAAAAAUAUAAAAAUUAGCCGGGCGUGGCGUGGAGCGCCU